AGAGCGAACGCUGGCGGCAGGCCUAACACAUGCAAGUCGAACGCACCUUCGGGUGAGUGGCGGACGGGUGAGUAACACGUGGGAACGUGCCCUUUGGUUCGGAACAACACAGGGAAACUUGUGCUAAUACCGGAUAAGCCCUUCGGGGGAAAGAUUUAUCGCCAUUGGAGCGGCCCGCGUCUGAUUAGCUUGUUGGUGAGGUAAAGGCUCACCAAGGCUACGAUCAGUAGCUGGUCUGAGAGGAUGAUCAGCCACACUGGGACUGAGACACGGCCCAGACUCCUACGGGAGGCAGCAGUGGGGAAUCUUGCGCAAUGGGCGAAAGCCUGACGCAGCGACGCCGCGUGGGGGAUGAAGGCCUUCGGGUUGUAAACCCCUUUCAGCAGGGACGAAGCGAAAGUGACGGUACCUGCAGAAGAAGCGCCGGCUAACUACGCGCCAGCAGCCGC
rnacentral:rRNA from 1 species